rnacentral:tRNA from 1 species
GGGCCGGUAGCUCAGGGGUAGAGCGGUAGACUGCAGUGCAUCAUCUAUACAGGCGAUCAUACUCGUUUUCUAUAGGUCACCGGUUCGACUCCGGUUCGGCCCU